rnacentral:rRNA from 1 species
UGGGGAAUAUUGCACAAUGGGCGCAAGCCUGAUGCAGCCAUGCCGCGUGUGUGAAGAAGGCCUUCGGGUUGUAAAGCACUUUCAGCGAGGAGGAAGGUGGUGAGCUUAAUACGCUCAUCAAUUGACGUUACUCGCAGAAGAAGCACCGGCUAACUCCGUGCCAGCAGCCGCGGUAAUACGAAGGGUGCAAGCGUUAAUCGGAAUUACUGGGCGUAAAGCGCACGCAGGUGGUUUGUUAAGUCAGAUGUGAAAUCCCCGGGCUCAACCUGGGAACUGCAUUUGAAACUGGCAAGCUAGAGUCUCGUAGAGGGGGGUAGAAUUCCAGGUGUAGCGGUGAAAUGCGUAGAGAUCUGGAGGAAUACCGGUGGCGAAGGCGGCCCCCCUGGACGAAGACUGACGCUCGGGUGCGAAAGCGUGGGGCAGCAAACAGGAUUAGAUACCCUGGUAGUCCACGCUGUAAACGAUGUCGAUUUGGAGGUUGUGCCCCUUGAGGCGUGGCUUCCGGAGCUAACGCGUUAAAUCGACCGCCUGGGGAGUACGGCCGCGAGGUUAAAACUCAAAGGAAUUGAC